ensembl:snRNA U6 U6 spliceosomal RNA
GCUUGCUUCAGCAGCACCAUAUCCUAAAAUAGGAAUGAUACAGGGAAGACUAGCAUGGCUCCUGUACAAGGAUAGCAUGCAAAUUUAUGAAACAUUCUAUUUUUAA